GUAAAUAUUACAAAACAAACGUGAAGAUGUUGAUAAGCAAUGAUAUGAUAAA
rnacentral:guide_RNA from 1 species